UACGUAGGGGGCAAGCGUUGUCCGGAUUUAUUGGGCGUAAAGAGCGUGUAGGCGGUUUGGUAGGUCCGUUGUGAAAACUCGAGGCUCAACCUCGAGACGCCGAUGGAAACCAUCAGACUAGAGUCCGGAAGAGGAGAGUGGAAUUCCUGGUGUAGCGGUGAAAUGCGCAGAUAUCAGGAAGAACACCCGUGGCUAAGGCGGCUCUCUAGUACGGUACUGACGCUGAGACGCGAAAGCGUGGGGAGCGAACAGGAUUAGAACUACCGUA
rnacentral:rRNA from 1 species